UCAUCCUGCUGAAGAGACUUCUCUUCACCACAGUGGAGGACUGAAAGAAGGUGCUAACACGUGUGUUUACCCUUCCCCCACCUCCGGAGCAUCUCUACCUCGCUGGAUGAGAGGAGAUUUCAUCUGUUUGACCGAAAGUCAAGAUGAAGUUGCUGGUUGCUGCUGCUGUACUGACUGUGGCCAGCUAUAGUGUCUCUCUUGAGGACCUGGAAUUCCACACCUGGAAGCUCAGGUUUGGAAAACGAAGAUUACAAACUGAUUUCCAAGUGCUGCCUGAGGGAGCUGAUCUGCCCGUCACUCACGUCAAUAAUCAGAAUAUGAGGCAGUGUUUUCCUGCUAAGCCUUCAGUGCAACUGGCGGAGGAGUUCUGGAGGGUCAGAACUUCAGGAAGACUGGUGUCUCUCAGUGAGCACCAGUUACUUGACUGCUCCUCAGCUUAUGGCAACAAGGACUCUUGUGGAGGCUGGGUGGACAAUUUCUUCAGAUAGUGUUCAGUGUGGGAAAAUGAUGGUCCUUCAUGUGAGUGAUGUACAACACUGACAUCUUGUGGAUAUGUGAAGACAUGAUGCAGUCUGAUGCGGUCCUUCAAUACAAAGCAUACAAUAAACAUUUCAUGGACAGAAAUCUCUACAUUUUGAGAAUGUAAAAUGCAGAAAAUAUUCUCUAUGACAGUUAAUCACUGUUUUAUUAUGUGUCUUUGGUAAAUAUUCUCUAUCAUAUAGGAUGGGCCUAUAUGACCCUUUCAAGAUAGUUGCCACAUGCACAUGCUGCAUUACUGUGAAAAAGGGUGAUGAAGAAGCCUCUAAGCAUGCUGUGGCCAACACUGGACCUGUAUCAGUUGCCCUUGAUGCUGGAAUUCUUCCAACUCUGUGAAUCAGAAGUGUAUGAUGAACCAAACUGCAGCAGUUCCCUAGCAGCAGGUUAAAGCACUAAAAACAGACAUGACCACUGGCCACUUUGUCAAGAACAGAGUGAAAAGGGAUACAUCAAAAUGUCCUGGAAAGAAAUUGCUACGGACACCAUCAACCCCCUGGUCUAAACAAGUAGGCAAGAUGCUCUAAAAUACUCAUUCCUUUUGUCUGUUAUGACCAAGGAAAUGCUAUUACCUUUACCUACCACUGACUGGUUGUUCAUGUUUAUUGGAUGUGCAGGUCCAUGCCUUUUCUCAGGGAGGAGAUCAGUGACACAUAAUUUACUUCAAUUUCAUAAGAGUUAUUGGAAAAAGAACUUCGAAGUUACUUAAAAGUUGGUAGCUAUGAUGCUCUUUUAAUAGAAUAUGGGUAUAGAUAAGGUGUGGCCUUUUUUUGAUCAUACUAAUUAACUUAAUUCAUCAAGGUCAAGUUGUUGUCAACAUUGUUUCAAUGUGUAACAACUGUGGUUAGUACAAAUUUGCAAUACCCACCCCAAAUAUGUGUAAAAUAAUCCUUUAAUGAAAUUCCUUUUUCUUCCCACAGUAAUUCAUAAUUCUUACAGGUUUUGCAUGUAAUCCAACUAAACAGCAGUACUUAACUCAUUAUUCUUACAUCUUCAUAGAACUUUAGGCGGUGGAAGGGUGCUUCACUCUUCUGUAAUCCAUAAAGUCUGCUAAGAAUAGAUUCACAAUGCUUGAAAUUAUUUUUUUCAUAUGUCAUGGGCUAUUCAGCCUAACUGUAUUUAAUUUUACUGCAUGCAAUGAAGCUGAAAUGAGUUCAGUACACCAAUCUGACUUUGCUUAUUCAGAGGCCAUAGUAACAGAUGAUAUAGGAUUCUUUGUGUAACUUUAGAUGUUUUAUAAUUUGCCAGGAAAAAAAACUUUAACUUUGCUGAUAAAAGUCAUCGGUGAGAAAAUGAUUGUUCUCGUUUUCCCAUGCGCUGGGUGACAUCUGUUUUAAUCAUACACAAUAGUUUCCCUGAUGUAAUUAAUGAAAUCACAUUAAGUGCUUGUAAUUUGUCCAUUCUAAAUGUCACAUUAGGUCUGGUUGUGAUAAUAUUUGAGGGGAGGUGGAGAAAUACUGAGGCAGAGAUACAGAAGGAGGGGUGCAUAUUAGGGAUUUAAUCAGCUUGUGUGACAAAAUGUGACCUUGACAUCUUACUUUUUUUCCCUCAGCUGAAGCAGCAACAGGGAGAACUGUUGUGUGGAAGCAAAUAGGCACGGCCUAAGUAAUUGAAAGAGAGAUUUAAAUGAUCUUUUGUCAGGCAAGUCUCUUAAUAGCAGACCUGUAAAAAAUAUCUCUGUCAAUUUUUCAGCACUGCAGUAUGACAGUAUUCAGCCAAUUAGGAAUGAAUGAUUGUUAUCCAGUGACGUUAUCAUCAUAGUCCCUUUUAUUUUUGGGAGUAUGAAGGAGGACAUUAGAAAGUGGAUAAGCAAAUGAUGAAAAAGCUCCCAGACAGAGACAAAGGGAGACAGAAGGAGGGCGCAUAAGAGGUGAGGCAAAUUAAUUGGUUUUGCUAAAUCCUCCACAAACAGCAGAAGCCAAUGUGGUUCCACAAAAGGCCAUUACCGGUAAUCAAUUUAAAUCUGUUUUACCCUUCCCAAGGAAACCAAUUAGGCCAUUUAAUUUGGCUUUUUUGAUUCACAGCAUGACCACGGCACAGGAUAGGACGUCCAAUUCACAUCCUGCAGAGAGGGACAAGUGAAAACACUGGGAGGCGUUGCUGGGACAAACAGAGCUAUUGAUCUGAUGGAAGCAGACAAAAAAGGACGCAUGACAUGAUGAUACAUUCAUGAAUAUGGGUUUUGUUAAAAAAACAUUAAACCUGAUUAAUUAAUCAAAGUGUUUGGCAAGUUACACUUUUAGCAGAAUCUACUCCUUGAAUUAUGUUUUCCAGUGACUUUGACUCAACAUAUUUAGCAGUUGAGCAUCAUUUUUGGCUGUUUUUUUGGGGUUAAAAGAAGUACCUUAAUUGUGUCACUAGGUGGCAGCACUUGACUGCUGAUGAUUAUCUCAAUGCAAUGGCCUGCCUUAAGUGAUCUAAAGCGCUGGUUCAAAGUCAAAUGUAUUCCUUUGAUUCUUAUGAUCAUGUGUCCUUGGAAUGUAACCACUUUUAGAUAUGCGUAUUGUAACCAAUACCAAACAUCUAGCCAUCCAUGCAGACACAUCGCAAAAUGCCAGUGAACCUAUUGCACUGUAACAAUGCACACUAAAAAUAUGCUUAAUCAACAAUUUCGCCACACAAUUUUAGUAUAUUGGCUGUUGA